rnacentral:snoRNA from 1 species
CCGAUUGAUGAUGAGGAGCUUGUGGGGUAUAUACUCACAGGUCUUGACAUGGAGUAUAGCUCGAUUGUGUCUGCAGUUCUUGCUCGAGUUGAACCGAUCUCGGUCAAUGAGUUGUACGCACAACUUCUCAGUUUUGAGC